rnacentral:rRNA from 1 species
GACGAACGCUGGCGGCGUGCCUAAUACAUGCAAGUGGGACGCAAGGGAACACACUGUGCUUGCACACCGUGUUUUCUUGAGUCGCGAACGGGUGAGUAACGCGUAGGUAACCUGCCUAUUAGCGGGGGAUAACUACUGGAAACGAUAGCUAAUACCGCAUAAUAUUAAUUAUUGCAUGAUAAUUGAUUGAAAGAUGCAAGCGCAUCACUAGUAGAUGGACCUGCGUUGUAUUAGCUAGUUGGUAAGGUAAGAGCUUACCAAGGCGACGAUACAUAGCCGACCUGAGAGGGUGAUCGGCCACACUGGGACUGAGACACGGCCCAGACUCCUACGGGAGGCAGCAGUAGGGAAUCUUCGGCAAUGGACGAAAGUCUGACCGAGCAACGCCGCGUGAGUGAAGAAGGUUUUCGGAUCGUAAAGCUCUGUUGUAAGUCAAGAACGUGUGUGAGAGUGGAA